rnacentral:lncRNA from 1 species
AUGGACAUAGAAUUUGCUAAAAUGAAACACUUAGGAUUCUGAUUUCAAAGGAUUACUCCUACCAACGGUUUAAGCCCAUAUUUACGCAACUCCUAAGAGCAUGGCACUAGACUAUGUAUAUUGAGCAAAAUCGCGUAAAAUAAAUCUAUAACCUAACUUCAAUGUUCCCUAAUAAUACAAGUAACAGAAACAAACUUAAACAAAAUGACAACAAAAGUAAACUAGGCAUAAUUAUGCACCUUUCGCCAGGAUUUCAACCAUAUGCUCAUAUCAAACGAAACAAGUGAAUAACCAUAUACAUAUGAGCAGGGAACAACUAAAAGUCUACUGAAGCAACGAGGGAAAAUGGCACCAAUGCCUUAAACAAAUCUGAAAAAAACAACUAACCGCGAGGCAGCGUUAUCCUUGAAACGCGACGAACCGUAGGUGAACCUUGACGCCUCGGACAACAACCUCGACGUACCGGACCUCGACGAGCCAAAAGCAACCUCACCAGAAAAACAGAAAGCUCGGACCCAAAGUCGACUUCUACGGAAAACAAAAAAACUCGGAAACGCAGCAAUGACUGCUUGGCACGCAGCGAUAGCUGCUCGUUGGACUGAAAAUGGCGCAACCGUUGGUUCUUGUUCAGGCUGUGCGUGGGGCUGACGAACUGGUUUUUGAGACGACGAGGGAGAUGGUGUCGUCGGAGCCGGUGGUCGUUUGGACGUGGUUUUGCUGGUUUUCGUUAUGAGGGUGACGGAGGGAAUGGUGGUUUGUUGACGGGCAACUGGGAGGUUGACGGUGGCGGAGGGUCAGUGAUGGUGUCGUGGGGGUGGCGAUGCAGCGAGCAGCAGCUCGACGGAGCUGGUACGUGGGGGGUUACCGGUGGUUUUGGACGCGAGGGUUUUGCGUGGUUUUUGGUCUGGUGGACUGCUUGGCGACGGGGGGUGCGACGGGGUGCGAGAUGAACCUAAGAGGAUGAGGACUGGUCGCGACAGGGAAGCUGGAAAUGGAGUGGUAUGCUUGGUAAUGGAGGAGUUGGUCCCGUUUGGUGGUGGUUUCAGCUGGGAGGUUGACGGUGGCGGAGUGGUUUUGGUUAUGGCGUCGGGGUGGUGUUUGGGAGGAGGAGGGUGGUCCGGUUUGGUCGUGAGGGUGUGGGACUGGUGGUUUUGGGUAGGGUUCUGCUAGGGCGUUUGCUUCUUCUUCUUCUGAAGAAGAAGCGUGAACAGUAGUAUAUGUUCGUUUUCUUCUGUUUUUUCUUUCUUUUAAAAUUUCCCAAGUCCGUUUGUUUCCCAGUAGGUUUUUCUUCUUCUCUUUUGAGAAGAAGAUGUACAGUACUUGUUUUUCAAAAAUCCCAAAGUCCGUUGGUUUUUUUCAAUUUUUUUUUCCUUUGUCAAAUGUGUUAGUCC